GUCCCGGUAGCUCAGCUGGAUAGAGCACUGGUUUCCUAAACCAGGGGUCAGGGGUUCGACUCCCUUCCGGGACGCCA
rnacentral:tRNA from 2 species